UAAAAAAAAAGGUUUUAGAAUCCUCUGAAAGAGGAGGAGAAUGGGGGCUCUCCGGCUCCGACCUCAGGCCUUCGGCCACUAGACUGCGAGUGCCCACGCACUGUACGCGCCGCCGUGUACGGCAGUGGGAAGGGUAAAAACCCUCCUUUCUCUUGGCCAAACGCAGGUAAUCUCAUUUUCCUUACUGUUAAUACUAUUUACAAGCAAAAAAGAAAGGAAUAAAGCAAAUAAACCACCUCUGCUUCUUGGUAUAUAAACUGCCUGUAUUUUUAUUUCUGUGUGUUUUUUCUCCAAAAAGUCCGUUCCAGAUUAGAAAAAAGAGGGGUUUUUAUAACCCUUUGCUACAUUUUAGGAAAGGAAAUCAUUCGAUUUCUUUCCAAAUUAGUUUCUUGGUUGCUGUUGGUUCUCUCUUCCUUUUUUUGCAGGUGUCUAGCGAGGAAAUCAGUGGGCCAGGAUGAUUAGGCCCUGAUGACGGUGGUGUUGGCGCUGAUCUGCGUUCAUUCAGCUUCAACUACUGCCAGAUUUGAGGCCUGGAAUCACGGCGUCGAUGGGGGUAAAUGGAAUGACCGAGGUUGAAGAGGCGUGACUGAUGGGGUGCUUACGGCGCGAAGCUUCUGGAAACCCUAGGGUUUCCAGAUUCUGUUUAGGCAUUGGGCCUCGUUUAGGUUGGGUCUUGUUUGGGUUUUGGUGUAAUGGGUUAAUAGAUUUUAGGCUAAAGGUUUAGGCUAAUUGGGUUGCAACCGGGUGCUGGGUUUUGGUUAAAUGGGUCAAUCAAUUUGGGUUUUUUGUAAACUGGACUGUAAUGGACCCCUUUUAAAUAAAUAUUUAUUUAUCCAAUU
rnacentral:lncRNA from 1 species